AGAGUUUGAUCCUGGUUCAGGAUGAACGCUAGCGAUAGGCCUAACACAUGCAAGUCGAGGGGCAGCACAUGAAGUAGCAAUACGGAUGGUGGCGACCGGCGCACGGGUGAGUAACGCGUAUGCAACCUGCCUACAACAGGGGGAUAACCCGUUGAAAGACGGACUAAUACCUCAUAAUACAGGGGUUCCGCAUGGGAAUAUUUGUUAAAGAUUAAUCGGUUGUAGAUGGGCAUGCGUUCCAUUAGCUGGUUGGAGAGGUAACGGCUCACCAAGGCAACGAUGGAUAGGGGAACUGAGAGGUUUAUCCCCCACACUGGUACUGAGACACGGACCAGACUCCUACGGGAGGCAGCAGUGAGGAAUAUUGGUCAAUGGACGCAAGUCUGAACCAGCCACGUCGCGUGAAGGAAGACGGCCCUACGGGUUGUAAACUUCUUUUGUAAGGGAAUAAAGUGAGUCACGAGUGACUUUUUGCAUGUACCUUACGAAUAAGGAUCGGCUAAACUCCGUGCCAGCAGCCGCGGUAAUAC
rnacentral:rRNA from 1 species